rnacentral:snRNA from 15 species
AUCGCUUCUCGGCCUUUUGGCUAAGAUCAAGUGUAGUAUCUGUUCUUAUCAGUUUAAUAUCUGAUAUGUCCUCUAUAUGGGGACAACAUAUUAAACGGAUUUUUAGCCCCGGGAGCGAAA